rnacentral:tRNA from 1 species
GCCCGGAUGGCGGAAUUGGUAGACGCGCUCGACUCAAACUCGAGUUCCUUUGGAGUGUGGGUUCGAUUCCCACUCCGGGUACAA